UGGAUAAUAGUUAAUUAAUAAUAUUUAAAUUGCAUUUAAAAGUAAUUUGUAAAUAAAUUUAUCUAU
rnacentral:tRNA from 1 species